UACGAGAGGCCCAACCGUUAUUCGGAUUUCCUGGGCUUAAAGAGUUCGUAGGCGGCGCAGAAAGUAGGGUGUGAAAGCCCUCGGCUCAACCGAGGAAUUGCGCUCUAAACUACUGCGCUCGAGGAACCUAGAGGUGAGCAGAACUGAUGGUGGAGCGGUGAAAUGCGUUGAUAUCAUCAGGAAUACCGGAGGCGAAGGCGGCGCUCUGGGACGGUACUGACGCUGAGACGCGAAAGCGUGGGGAGCGAACAGG
rnacentral:rRNA from 1 species